GAUGAACGCUGGCGGCGUGCCUAAUACAUGCAAGUCGAGCGAACGGACGAGAAGCUUGCUUCUCUGAUGUUAGCGGCGGACGGGUGAGUAACACGUGGAUAACCUACCUAUAAGACUGGGAUAACUUCGGGAAACCGGAGCUAAUACCGGAUAAUAUUUUGAACCGCAUGGUUCAAAAGUGAAAGACGGUCUUGCUGUCACUUAUAGAUGGAUCCGCGCUGCAUUAGCUAGUUGGUAAGGUAACGGCUUACCAAGGCAACGAUGCAUAGCCGACCUGAGAGGGUGAUCGGCCACACUGGAACUGAGACACGGUCCAGACUCCUACGGGAGGCAGCAGUAGGGAAUCUUCCGCAAUGGGCGAAAGCCUGACGGAGCAACGCCGCGUGAGUGAUGAAGGUCUUCGGAUCGUAAAACUCUGUUAUUAGGGAAGAACAUAUGUGUAAGUAACUGUGCACAUCUUGACGGUACCUAAUCAGAAGUCCACGGCUAACUACGUG
rnacentral:rRNA from 1 species